GACGAACGCUGGCGGCGUGCUUAACACAUGCAAGUCGAACGGAAAGGCCCUGCUUUUGUGGGGUGCUCGAGUGGCGAACGGGUGAGUAACACGUGAGUAACCUGCCCUUGACUUUGGGAUAACUUCAGGAAACUGGGGCUAAUACCGGAUAGGAGCUCCUGCUGCAUGGUGGGGGUUGGAAGGUUUCGGCGGUUGGGGAUGGACUCGCGGCUUAUCAGCUUGUUGGUGGGGUAGUGGCUUACCAAGGCUUUGACGGGUAGCCGGCCUGAGAGGGUGACCGGCCACAUUGGGACUGAGAUACGGCGCAGACUCCUACGGGAGGCAGCAGUGGGGAAUAUUGCACAAUGGGCGGAAGCCUGAUGCAGCAACGCCGCGUGCGGGAUGACGGCCUUCGGGUUGUAAACCGCUUUCGCCUGUGACGAAGCGUGAGUGACGGUAAUGGGUAAAGAAGCACCGGCUAACUACGUG
rnacentral:rRNA from 1 species